rnacentral:rRNA from 1 species
GACGAACGCUGGCGGCGUGCUUAACACAUGCAAGUCGAACGGAAAGGCCUCUUUCGGGGGGUACUCGAGUGGCGAACGGGUGAGUAACACGUGAGUAACCUGCCCUUGACUUUGGGAUAACUUCAGGAAACUGGGGCUAAUACCGGAUAGGAGCUCCUGCUGCAUGGUGGGGGUUGGAAAGUUUCGGCGGUUGGGGGUGGACUCGCGGCUUAUCAGCUUGUUGGUGGGGUAGUGGCUUACCAAGGCUUUGACGGGUAGCCGGCCUGAGAGGGUGACCGGCCACACUGGGACUGAGAUACGGCCCAGACUCCGACGGGAGGCAGCAGUGGGGAAUAUUGCACAAUGGGUGGAAGCCUGAUGCAGCAACGCCGCGUGCGGGAUGACGGCCUUCGGGUUGUAAACCGCUUUCGCUCAUGACGAAGCUUUGUGUGACGGUAGUGGGUAAAGAAGCACCGGCUAACUACGUG